GGACUACCGGGGUAUCUAAUCCUGUUUGAUCCCCACGCUGUCGCGCCUGAGCGUCAGUUACGAGCCAGUGAGCCGCCUUCGCCACCGGUGUUCUUCCCAAUAUCUACGAAUUUCACCUCUACACUGGGAAUUCCACUCACCUCUCUCGUACUCCAGUCUCACAGUUUCAAUGGCAAUUCCGGAGUUGAGCUCCGGGCUUUCACCACUGACUUGGAAGACCGCCUGCGCGCGCUUUACGCCCAGUAAUUCCGAACAACGCUAGCCCCCUUCGUAUUACCGCGGCUGCUGGCAC
rnacentral:rRNA from 1 species